ACUCUGGUGGCCUAAGCAGUUAGAGCGUCCGCCUUGGAUGCUGGAGGUCGCGGGUUCGAACCCCGACCGAAUCAUACCAAAGAG